UACGUAGGGGGCUAGCGUUGUCCGGAAUCAUUGGGCGUAAAGCGCGCGUAGGCGGUCAGGUAAGUCCGGUGUGAAAGUCAAAGGCUCAACCUUUGAAUGCCGCUGGAUACUGCUUGACUUGAGUCCGGAAGGGGCGAGUGGAAUUCCUGGUGUAGCGGUGAAAUGCGCAGAUAGUCAGGAGGAACACCAAUGGCGAAGGCAGCUCGCUGGAACGGUACUGACGCUGAGGAGCGAAAGCGUGGGGAGCGAACAGG
rnacentral:rRNA from 1 species